GAUGAACGCUGGCGGCGUGCCUAAUACAUGCAAGUCGAGCGAACAGAUGAGGAGCUUGCUCCUCUGACGUUAGCGGCGGACGGGUGAGUAACACGUGGAUAACCUACCUAUAAGACUGGGAUAACUUCGGGAAACCGGAGCUAAUACCGGAUAAUAUAUUGAACCGCAUGGUUCAAUAGUGCAAGCCGGUUUUGCUGUCACUUAUAGAUGGAUCCGCGCCGCAUUAGCUAGUUGGUAAGGUAACGGCUUACCAAGGCGACGAUGCGUAGCCGACCUGAGAGGGUGAUCGGCCACACUGGAACUGAGACACGGUCCAGACUCCUACGGGAGGCAGCAGUAGGGAAUCUUCGGCAAUGGGCGAAAGCCUGACGGAGCAACGCCGCGUGAGUGAUGAAGGUCUUCGGAUCGUAAAACUCUGUUAUUAGGGAAGAACAAAUGUGUAAGUAACUAUGCACGUCUUGACGGUACCUAAACAGAAAGCCACGGCUAACUACGUG
rnacentral:rRNA from 1 species